UACGUAGGGUGCGAGCGUUGUCCGGAAUUAUUGGGCGUAAAGAGCUCGUAGGCGGUUUGUUGCGUCUAUCGUGAAAACCUGCGGCUUAACUGUGGGCUUGCGGUGGAUACGGGCAGACUUGAGUUCGGUAGGGGAGACUGGAAUUCCUGGUGUAGCGGUGAAAUGCGCAGAUAUCAGGAGGAACACCGAUGGCGAAGGCAGGUCUCUGGGCAUUAACUGACGCUGAGGAGCGAAAGCAUGGGGAGCGAACAGG
rnacentral:rRNA from 1 species